rnacentral:rRNA from 1 species
GGUUCAUUCAAAUUUCUGCCCUAUCAACUUUCGAUGGUAGGAUAGUGGCCUACCAUGGUAUCAACGGGUAACGGGGAAUUAGGGUUCGAUUCCGGAGAGGGAGCCUGAGAAACGGCUACCACAUCCAAGGAAGGCAGCAGGCGCGCAAAUUACCCAAUCCCGACCGGGGAGGUAGUGACAAUAAAUACUGAUACAGGGCUCUUUUGGGUCUUGUAAUUGGAAUGAGUACAAUUUAAAUCCCUUAACGAGGAACAAUUGGAGGGCAAGUCUGGUGCCAGCAGCCGCGGAAAUUCCAGCUCCAAUAGCGUAUAUUAAAGUUGUUGCAGUUAAAAAGCUCGUAGUUG